rnacentral:rRNA from 1 species
UACGAAGGGGGCUAGCGUUGCUCGGAAUCACUGGGCGUAAAGCGCACGUAGGCGGAUUUGUAAGUCAGGGGUGAAAUCCCGGGGCUCAACCUCGGAACUGCCUUUGAUACUGCAAAUCUCGAGUCCGGAAGAGGUGAGUGGAAUUCCUGGUGUAGCGGUGAAAUGCGCAGAUAUCAGGAGGAACACCGAUGGCGAAGGCAGCUCGCUGGGACGGUACUGACGCUGAGGCGCGAAAGCGUGGGGAGCAAACAGG